GAGUAGCGGUAUCUGAUACUGAACUAGAUGCCGCAAAAGCCCCAACUCUGGCUCAAGAAAAUAAGGGGUAUCCAUGAGAUUAGUGCCCCUUCUGUUCGUAGUCCAUCCGUCUCAUCUCGUGCAGCAGGAAGCAUCAAAGGAGGAAGCAGCUGAAGAACGGCAUUUACUAUUCGGAUUGAUGAAAAUCUUCUUCAUGCCCAGAUUCGGAAUCGGAAUAGGAAGAGGAUGCUCUAUCCGCUCUCGAAGCAGUCGUAAGGUAAGGUUUUUACGUAUGGUUUAGCGUAGCUCUUUAGCCUUUCGGAAUAGUUAAAAUUCCCUAAAGGCUGACACCGGCUUAAUAUAAUAAGGUUUAAAAAGACCGCAAAGAUGUGUGCUUGCUGCUGUAUGCUGAAUCAAGCGGUCCCGGAAAUAAGUUUGUAGUGAGUGUAGUGCAAUUUACUGGGUUCCUUAGCAGGCUCUCGCCCUAUAUACCUCGUAGCCCGAAGACUCGUCGCUGGUACUGGCUAAGGGUGUGGGAGUUCGCAUCUAUGGUCAAUCAAUAGGUCCGUUUUGACCUUCUUUUCUGUCUUAAAGUUUCGGGUUGGACCAGAUAUUAAAAAACCUGGGCUUUUGAUAAAGCAAAACAGAUACGAAAGCCUUGAGUCUAGUCUAAAAACCUCAAAAACUCCUUAUUCUAGUGAUGCUGCUUAAACUCGCUCUCUAGGAUCUAUGUUUACCAAAUAGUUGGUUGAAGAAUUAUCGACCAACCCGGGAAAAGAAGAGCAAGGAUAGAAGACUAAGCAUUGAAUCCAAUCUCCUGCCUUGAUCGACUGCUCUAUUCAUCGCCUACCACGGGCACCUCGACUCCCUCCCAUCAUAAGUAGGGCUUUUCCGUAUGGAUUUUACCAUUAAAGAAAGAUUCUUUAAUGCCUCCGGGAGCGCCCCUUCUUUCAAAGAGAGGAUUCUAUACCAGCAGAUUAUCAAGCAGCGGUUUCAUGCAGCAGACGAUUUUCGGAAUCAAAGAGACGAUUCGUGCCAGGAUGGUCGUAGAUCAUCUCCUCUUUAAGACGUCCUUAAAGGAUUCUAUAAAGAAAGCGGUUUAACAUUAGUGAAGACUAGCUAUAUAUCAUGCUACUUCAGCUAUAUGUUUAAGACUAGUCUUUAGAAUCUGUCUAUCCUAUCUAUCCACCUGAGAGAGAUCACUCCUGUAAAGAGCCUCACC